rnacentral:lncRNA from 1 species
GUCUCUGUUUCUUGAUUCUGUAUUUUAAUCUGCCCAAUUCUGAAAACCUCCACUACAAAAGCCACCAAUAAUCCUCAGCUGACAGAAACAAAAGCAUAGGGAAUUCUUGCAGAAAAGUAGAGGCAGGUGAAAAUUUAUUUAGGUGGAAGAAAAUUACAUCAGGGACUUAAAAAAAUCAUUUAAACCAAUGUUAAUGUAAUACCCUGCAGUUUUCUCUCUUAGGUCUACCUAUAAACAAAACACUUCAAAUUUCUCAACAGCAAAUAUUUCUUUAUAUACACAAAAGUAUUUUAACAGGAAUGUGCGAUUUCACAAACUAAACAUUGCAAUAAUUUUAAGCUAUAUCUGGAAAUAUGUUCCAAGAUUUAUAGUGAGUUUCUGAAAGGUCACCCCAUAGAGGAGCACAGGAGUGAUUCUUCUCUUUGUAGUAACUAGUCAUACUGGGACUUUGAAAGUAGGGAUGCUUAAUCUUUACUUUUAAACCUUUUCAUCAGAAAGUUACUUAAGCAGCUUGGCCAGCUUUGACUUUUAUAAGCAUGCUGCCUUCUACUGAAAACUUCUUUCAGUCACUUCAGAGGGUAGAGUUUAAAAAAAAAAAAAAAAAAAAGCAUGUGUUUCUAUCAGGUCCUAAAGGUAUACAUCAGUGAUCUGGGUGGACGGGGGUGAAAACUUCCCACAGCAAGUCACUCAAAUGCUCCUGGUGGGCUCUGACAAUUCAAAGUAACUUGCAGAAAUUUUGAUUGUGCUGACUAAUUUUAUGUCAACUUGACAUAGACAUCUAAGGAGGGAACCCCAGUUAAGAAAAUGCCUCUCUAAGAUUGGGCAGUAGGCAAGCCUGUAGAACAUCAUCCUAAUUACUGAUUGAUUGGGGAGGAGCCAGCCCUUAUGGGCGGUUAUCCCCAGGCUGGUGGUCCUGGUUUUUAAAAGAAAGUAGACUGAGCAAGCCAUGUAAUCUAGAGCACUCCUCCAUGGCCCCUGCACCAGCUCUUGCCUCCAGGUUCCUGCCCUGUCUGAGUUUUUAUCUGGGCUGAUGAUGAACUGUGGCGUGGAAAUGUAAGUCAAAUAAACUCCUUCAUUACCAAGUUGCUUUGGUCAUGGUGUUUCAUCCACUGCAAUAGCAACUUUAACUAUUUGUAACUUUUGUAAGAAAUCAGUGUUAUGGAAGAAACAGGAACCAGUUCUUUUAGGAUGACAAACAGUGAAAUUUGCAUUUCAUGUUCAAAUGUGUAUGAGUUGAUGUAAGAGAACCAUGAAAUAACAACAUUAAUGUUAUAAAGGGUUUACUAAUAAACUCACUUAGAUAUUAAGUUACACAAAGUAGGACUUAGCUAAGGGAGCAAUGCUUCCACAGAACUUGAAAAUAAGCAGUGUGCUGACCAGGCUUGCCAGGAACAGCAGGGAAAAGUCUGUUCCUCAAACACAACUGAAGUUUAAGACCAUUAAGCCUUUCCCCAUAUCAGAAUACUUGUCACUAAGGUGGCUCGAGGGUGUGGUACAGGGGACAGCCAUCAUAUCGUCCUGACCUGCCAUUAAGUUCCUGUCCUUUCAUCAGGCAAAGCAUAAGUCUACAAGGUGGGCAAGAUGACCCUGGAUAACAACCACCCAACAGAUCAACACUGUCGUGUCUUUGCUGUAUAAAUCCCCCAGCUGCCCCUGGCUCUGAGGCCAGGAUCUGAAGGAGAGUUAAGGACAGCAGCACAAAUGGAAUGUAUAGGCCUAAGGCCUGUAUACACUGGUAAAAAUUUGUCUGAGGCUGCUUCCUCUUUGUGCAUUGACAAGAACCACACACAUUACUAUUAAAGAUUUUCCUCUGUUAA